CAUGAUAGCCUGGAGAUUUUCCUUUUCCCUGUUAUCCUCAGCUACCUGAAUACCCAGAUAGAACUCUGCUUGCCCAACAGCUCCACAUGCUCUACAGACAAAUAGGAGUCCUUGUUUCCUGUAAGAGGUUCAUAUGGAAAGUUAAGGCAAUGAUAAUUAGUAAGAUUGAUGCUCCGAAUUAAAGCCAAUUGGAUGAGGUAAUUCGUCAAAGAAGUACAAUGCAAAGCUGAAACGAUGCAAGUGAAUUGAAAGAGGGGCUGAUGGAAAUCGAGCUUCAAGUGGCAACAACCUUCGUGGCAUAUGUAAUACAACCAAUUCAGUUCAAAUAUGUAUUUAUUAUGUUAGCAUGAAGGGUAAAAAGAAGGGGGACAAACUAAUCUUAUGUUCAAGCACUAAAAAAAAGUAAAAUCUAAAUAGUGAUGUGAUCACUUCCUUUUAAACAACUGUUACGAUCAGGUCAGCAGGAUUGACAAACUAUAAUAUUUAUAACAAUGGAAUUGAGGGGCUACUACAUUACACACUUAUGUUUCUACUCAUUCAGUUGAGGAAAAUCCAUGAUGCACAAAACAAGAUCAGUUUUAUCCAUCUGAUUGUUCAUUGGGCCAUGUGAUAGGAAAGAGAGAAAAUAUGCCUAGGUAGGUUCUUACUACAACUGUUGCUCCUGCUACUAAUUACCGGUCACUUCAAUCAAUAGCUAAAAAGUAUUUUUAACGUUUUUCUCUGCCCCUGCUUUUGGAUUUGAUUGCAGACUUGAUUAUCCUUACCGAAUCUCAGAGUUGCUUCACCAAGGCGUGUCGUUUUUCGCCUUCCCAUUGCAUUCAAAAAAAUAUUUUCCUAUCACUCGGUUCAUCCCCACAUAAGACGUAGCUGAUGCUCCCUGGAAAACCACAUUUGUGUAUCUUCUGUUACAUACAUGAGAUUCUCUAAUGCGUGUUUAGGCAGGAGCUAGCAUGUUAGGAAUGAAACAUACAAGCCCAGUGAACACUUCCAAACUAAACUAACCUAUGAAUCCCGCUUAGGCGAAGCGGGUGAGGAGGAGGGUUACCAGAGGCUGGAGGAAAAUGAGAGCAGGGACUGCGAUCCGAGCAUCCCCAUCGCUGGCACUCGCUGGAAUUGGAACUGGAGCAGCAGCAACAACAACAACAAUGUGGGGUAGGGGGAACUGGAGCCUGAUCCCGACGCCGCU
rnacentral:lncRNA from 1 species